AGAGAGUGUAAAGAUAAGGCUCAU
rnacentral:siRNA from 1 species